rnacentral:rRNA from 1 species
AUUGAACGCUGGCGGCAGGCCUAACACAUGCAAGUCGAGCGGCAGCGGGAAAGUAGCUUGCUACUUUUGCCGGCGAGCGGCGGACGGGUGAGUAAUGCCUGGGAAAUUGCCCAGUCGAGGGGGAUAACAGUUGGAAACGACUGCUAAUACCGCAUACGCCCUACGGGGGAAAGCAGGGGACCUUCGGGCCUUGCGCGAUUGGAUAUGCCCAGGUGGGAUUAGCUAGUUGGUGAGGUAAUGGCUCACCAAGGCGACGAUCCCUAGCUGGUCUGGAAGGAUGAUCAGCCACACUGGAACUGAGACACGGUCCAGACUCCUACGGGAGGCAGCAGUGGGGAAUAUUGCACAAUGGGGGAAACCCUGAUGCAGCCAUGCCGCGUGUGUGAAGAAGGCCUUCGGGUUGUAAAGCACUUUCAGCGAGGAGGAAAGGUUGAUGCCUAAUACGUAUCAACUGUGACGUUACUCGCAGAAGAAGCACCGGCUAACUCCGUGCCAGCCGCCGCGGUAAUAC